ACUCACUGGCCGGCGUAUGUGUGUGUGUGUGUGUGUUUUUAUUACAUAUUUUUAUUGGUUGAAUAUUUAAAAUGUGGGGCGACUGUUAAAUUUGGCAGUUGUGGCAUUGAAAUGAGAACAGAAAGCGGUUUUUACAUUUUUGCACAAUUAAAUUUUUUACUUAAAAAAUUAGUUUUUAUGUAUAUUUUUGUUUCUUGUAUUAUUUCCUUUUUGUUUUUUAUUUAUAAUUUUUUUAUUGUAUUAUUUUUUUAUAUUAAUAUAUUGUAUUAUUUUAAUUUUUUUUUUUUUUUAAUUUUAAUAUUUUUCUCUACAUUAAAAAAACUUUAAUUUUUGAUUUCAAUUUUUCCAUACGCUCACAAUUGUUAACACAAAAACAAACAAAAAAAAUGAUUUCGCACGCACUCUUAUGACAGCAGGCAGACUAAAAUAUGUAAAUUAUAGAAAAACACACAUUGUAACAGUUAAGCCAACGACAGCAAUUCACACAAAAUAAAUAUCGAAUCGAGCUAUGACGACCCGUGUCACUCAAUUUUAAACGCCGACUCCACGCCAAAGGCUAAGAGUUUAUGCGAAAACUUGGCAAAUUUUUGCUUACAGGUAAACGCUAACAGAGCAAGACUGAGACUGACUGCCUAACGGCCUAGCUACCUAAUCGACAACGCGGUGAGUGAGGCGAACAAGUCGCAUUAAUGCACUGAGUAAAAGAGUGAGGGCAGAGAGUGAAUCUCAAGAAGAAAACUAAACACAAAUACACCAAACCACCCAAGUGCGAGAAACAUUAGAAAAAUCACAUUCAGGCACAACGAGAAAUACAAAUGCGUGAGUGCCACCACACUUUUAAAGCCUGAGAGCCAAAUCUAUGUGUGUGUAUACUGAAAUUUGUUUAUUUUAUAAUGACGACAAAUCAAACAACAAAUCAAAUGCGCAAAAACACGUGUGUGGCGAUCAGUGUAUGAAACGAGCGGAGCGAGCGAACAAAACAAACGAGAAACAGAAUAUUUGCAAUAGAAACAAAAUAAUUGAUUAACAAAAGCGAUAAUUUAUGUAUUUAAGCAUUUCGAUAGAAGUAGCAACAUUCACUUGGCGAUACAAUGGCAGAGAGGGGGAGGAGCAUUUGAAGGAAAAUGAACGUAUGCAUGAUUUUAGACUUCAAAAGUUUAUUAUCAAAACAGAUCACGCAAGAGCCUCUUUUCCUGCUCUGCGUAGAGAGUACAGCAAAAUAAAGCAGAGGAUGCCAUUUACACAACUUACUGUAUAUAAACCCAACACACACUGCAACAUAGCAAGUGCAACUACAUCGGCGCAAUAAUGUUGAGAACAAAACUUAUAAUCAAGAGGAAGAAACCAGCCAGCACCGAGAAUGGGAGGAGCAGGUAGUUAACUCAUUUGGCGUCAUUGUGCCUCUGGACAUGCGAGUCAAUGCAGCAGCAGCAGUGAGUCUUUUGGUAGUCGAGACGGCGACGGCGAUGGCGGUGACGACGACGACGACGACAGUCUUUUGCUAAGUCUAAACUCAGAUGAGCAGGCACAUACAGCAGUCAGGUGGAUUUUUAGGUCACUGACGCCGAUGUUACAAUGCCCGCCGAUUGAGAAGCCUCGCUGCGACCUUCCUGGAAGAAUUGAGUGUACAUCACCCAUUUUAAAUGAUUAAAAUAAAAAUAAAAAAAUUAUAUUAUUUUCAUGUAUAA